UUUCCCUAUAAUUAGGGAUUCGACCUGCCCGGUGUAAAAUAAUAUAAACGGCUGCGGUAUUUUGACCGUACAAAGGUAGCAUAAUUGAUUGUCUGGAUAAAAAGAGACUUGAUUGAAUGGUUUCACGAAAUAAAUAAUCUUAUAAAAAUUUUUGUAGAACUUAUUUUAAGCGUAAAGAAACGCUCUUUAGAUAAAAAGACGAGAAGACCCUAUAAAAUUUUUACAUUUUUUUUUUUUAAAAAAAAAAAAUGUUUAGACGGGGAAUCUAUAAUAAAAUUAUUAUAAUUAGAUCAACCUUAAUUUUGGUUCUAAGUGGAUAAAAUUACUUUAGGGAUAACAGGACAAUCAUUAUUAGGAGUUCUUAUCAAAAAUAAGGUUUGUUACCUCGAUGUUGAAUCAAAUAGUCUAUUAGCUGGAGAAAGUUAAUAAGACGGCCUGUUCGGCCUUUAAAAAUUUACG
rnacentral:rRNA from 1 species